GCGUUAGUCAGACUGCACACCCAAGCCGAAGCUCUCCAUUCAACAUGUCAGCUGGACUACCAUCGCAAAGAGCAAGCAAAGAUCUUAGUUGGAAUAACCAAGGGGUUUGACAGCGUCAAUGAGACGUGCCAGCGUGACCGCAGGGAACGCAGCACAAUGUGAUCCGGCUUGCUGUGCGUGGGAUACCCACCAAGGUUUAUUAGAGAUCCAGCCGUUCUGUCAGCUCAACUGCAGUCCAGUAAUGGAUCAGACAUUCUCCAAGCGAUACAUCCAUGAAAUUGGUUCUGCUUUCUUUCCUUCUCACCCCCCUAUCCUUUAUUAAUAUUCUAUAUCCUCUGAACACUUCCUGUGUCCUGUCAAAUAAUAUUUAGAGAGAACGUGUACCCAGUGAUUAACCACAGGGAAAAUGUAUUUUUUUCCCCUCUUUGUGCAUACGAGGAGAACUCAUGUGCUUCUGUGUUUCCCUGAGGGUUUUGACAUUUGAAAUAAACAAGUUUGGAUGCUUUUAAAUUCAUUGUUAGCUAGGUAAUGGAUUCUGGUUAAUGUACUGAGGAAAGCACAUCUCCUCAGAAUUUGCCCUAGUUAUA
ensembl:lncRNA